GACGAACGCUGGCGGCGUGCUUAACACAUGCAAGUCGAGCGGAAAGGCCACUUCGGUGGUACCCGAGCGGCGAACGGGUGAGUAACACGUGAGUAAUCUGCCCCUGGCUUUGGGAUAGCCACCGGAAACGGUGAUUAAUACCGGAUACGACCACUUCUCGCAUGGGCUGGUGGUGGAAAGUUUUUUCGGCCAGGGAUGUGCGCGCGGCCUAUCACCUUGAUGGUGAGGUAAUGGCUCACCAUGGCUUCGACGGGUAGCCGGCCUGAGAGGGUGACCGGUCACACUGGGACUGAGACACGGCCCAGACUCCGACGGGAGGCAGCAGUGGGGAAUAUUGGACAAUGGGCGGAAGCCUGAUCCAGCAACGCCGCGUGAGGGAUGACGGCCUUCGGGUUGUAAACCUCUUUCAGCAGGGACGAAGCGCAAGUGACGGUACCUGCAGAAGAAGCACCGGCCAACUACGUGCCAGCAGCCGCCGCAGUAA
rnacentral:rRNA from 1 species